rnacentral:rRNA from 1 species
GGGAUUGCCCUAGUAACGGCGAGUGAAGCGGCAACAGCUCAAAUUUGAAAUCUGGCUCUCGGGCCCGAGUUGUAAUUUGUAGAGGAUACUUUUGAUGCGGUGCCUUCCGAGUUCCCUGGAACGGGACGCCAUAGAGGGUGAGAGCCCCGUCUGGUUGGAUGCCAAAUCUCUGUAAAGUUCCUUCAACGAGUCGAGUAGUUUGGGAAUGCUGCUCUAAAUGGGAGGUAUAUGUCUUCUAAAGCUAAAUACCGGCCAGAGACCGAUAGCGCACAAGUAGAGUGAUCGAAAGAUGAAAAGCACUUUGAAAAGAGAGUUAAAAAGUACGUGAAAUUGUUGAAAGGGAAGCGUUUAUGACCAGACUUGGGCUUGGUUAAUCAUCUGGGGUUCUCCCCAGUGCACUUUUCCAGUCCAGGCCAGCAUCAGUUUUCCCCGGGGGAUAAAGGCGGCGGGAAUGUGGCUCUCUUCGGGGAGUGUUAUAGCCCACCGUGUAAUACCCUGGGGGGGACUGAGGUUCGCGCAUCUGCAAGGAUGCUGGCGUAAUGGUCAUCAACGACCCG